GGCGGCAUAGCCAAGUGGCUAAGGCAGCGGUCUGCAAAACCGUUUGACACCGGUUCGAGUCCGGUUGCCGCCUCCA
rnacentral:tRNA from 1 species